UUACAGUUGUUCAACCAGUUACUAAUCUAACUAAGUGUAACCGGCUAAACAACUGAACCC
rnacentral:pre_miRNA from 1 species